ACGCAUUAAGGAACAAUCAGCGGCUAAUUGCCUACACUUUGUGCGAUCUCUCUCUCUCUCUCACUCUCUCUCUUUGUUUUCUUUUCUUUUUUUUGUCAAUUUUUUUUUUUCACUUCUCCAAUUUAUACUCCCGCUCACAUCCGUCUUCUUCGAGAAUGCUCCGUUGAUCGCCGCUUUUCUAGGUUUCACCUCGAACUUCUCUCACAUCGUCCCUAUCCCCUCGAUGCUCCGUUCGGCACCGCCCUCGUCUUCUGUAUGCUGAUCUCCCGGUUGUGCAUAGACCAGGCAUCGUCUGCCUCCGCUUCGCUCCAUAUCGAUCGAUUCGUUCCGUUAGUGUUACCCGUCGUCUGGGUUCGGACACGUUGAGAUUCUCGUAAAUACUGGUCAGAUCGUCGUUUUAUGACCCUCGGAAUCGCCUCUAUCGUUUCUGGGAUCGUUGAAUUCGAUGAAGCCAGAUAAGGAAGGGCAGGAUUCACCUAGCACUUUCAUCAGACAAGUAAUUGGGAAGGAUCCAUUGUCUAGAACUGGUGGAAAGCAGAUCCCUUUUGAACUAUGGAAGGGUGAGCCUACUGAUGUGAAUGAGGCUAAGGAACCUAGUUGUUCUUCAAAUGACAAUGAAUAUGCAUUUAAGGGAACAAAAGCAUCAUCUGAACAAAUGCAAGCACUUAGAUUUCCUGAAGCUAUUUUAGCCUUUGCUCAAGCUGCUGCAAGAGCGAAUGGUGAGUCUGAAAAAUGUAUGUCAACUCUCUAAAACAGAUAUUCCAGGAUGGCCUUUUCUUUCAUCACCUAAGGUUCAGUUUCAGAAGUGUGAAAAAUGUUCUAGAGUGUUCUGCUCUACAUAAGUUAUAGAAGGCACAUACUUGUGCAUAGGCGCUCCCUAAACAUUGAUAAGGUCUUUAUCCUUUGAACUUCUUUAUUUUAAGUUGCAUCUUCAUUUUAAAUUUUAGUUUAUCUACUUUAGUAGGACAAUAGACGUCCAUUCCUUUUUCCUUUAUGAGCUUAAGAUAUGUACAUAAGUACAAGACCUGCUCUGGUGAUACCAUUAUGUGAAUAAAAUCUUUCUUCUCUGGUUUCCCUGUUGUUCGAAAUUAUAAAUUACAACUGUAUUUGAAUUACAACCCACAGUAUUUUAUAAGUUCGCAUCACUUUUUCCAAAGGUGCCUGUUAUUUGCCUGAGUAAAUUGUUCAAUUUUUCACUAUUCUUCCUGCCUUAUUUUGUGGACAUACUAGAAAUGGACACGUGAUCCCUAUACUUUAAGGUUUGAACUUCAUUGAAGAAAAAAAAAAAUCUAUAUUCUCAUCAACUUUAAAUGAUUAUGCUAUUUAUAUAUUUUUAUGGCUAUUUCCUCACUUGAUUUCAUUUGGGUAACUAUUCCUUGGCAUUUGUAGGAUUUUCUGAAGAAUAGGGAUUGUCUGGCCAACAUGUUUGUGGCGUGAAGGUAAUCAGGUCGGCUUUGUACUUCUUCAGGUCCAGCUGAGGUGGUAGUCCGACCUGCCACUGGGUUUGAAAGCUUGGCCGCUCAGGGAGUCUUGGGUAGAAGAAGUACUCCUUCCAGUGUUUAUUUGAAGUGGGCAUCUUUUCAAAAAAUACCAAACCGAUCCGAGACUGAAAGAGAUAAGUUCCUAGCUCGGAUUGCUUGGGGUAGUAGAAGUAAUGAAAGACUUGCGGGGUUAAAGGGAUGUUGUGCAACCGGAAUAGGAUGACAACGCCGCACAGCAGAUGAAAGGAGUUCGGGACGAGUUCGGGACGAGUUGUGGAAGAGGGACGCAAAAGUAAUUACAAACUUCAAUAAUAAAGGGGUGAAUGGGAAACCGCAGGUCGGCCAUAAACUGGCCUCGGAACAAGCAGAAGGUGUCGGUCGGCGGGUAAUUUGGUUGAUCGGUCGAAGAAGCCAAAAUCACCUCAUGAUUAUAAGGAAUUUCAAAGGUGUUCCUAAGGGAUUCAGCGUCACCCUUAUCGAACCUGGUCUCCAUGGUGGAGUACCAGAGCCUAGUUGAGGGAUCCGACGGCUGUGAAGAACUGGCCAUUGCCGGAGAAAGGGGAGAAAACAAGAAGUUCCGCCGAAAGGUUGUCGGAGAAACACAAAACAUACGUCGGGCAGGGACGUGGGACAAGAGGAACAAGACUGCUAAAGAUUAAACGGCAGGAAGGGUCAAAAAGGCUUACAGAAAGAGGUUGUCGGGGAAGAAGACGAACGGUUGCCGAAGCACUGGUCGCGCAAAGUCGCCAGCAGUUGUUGAGAAGGAAGAUGCAAAGUGAAGACAGAGGCGGUGCUGCGGCUUUAUAAAGAUCAGCUCGGCCGACUAGAGCCGUCGGAUCUAGGUCACGGGAACCGAAACACAAAUCCAGCCGUCGAAUUCAAACCACCAAACAUCACAUCAGUAGCUGUCACCUCAAACGUGCUAGAACUGCGGCGGCGACACGUGGCAUACUCCUACAAGAUAGCAUUUAAUGGGUGACAUUAUUAGGCGUGGGUGCGUGCUCGGCCUUAAUGGAGGAGAUUUGUACGAAUUCCAAGGAGAUUCGGGCUAUGUCAACAUUUGACCGUGCGGUCCGGGCCCAUCCAAAGACACCGAAGGAAAAACCUCCCAAGUGCAAGCCAUUGGAUCACCGUGCGGUCCAGAAGAUCAGUCUUGCACGGACUGGUCGGGGUCCAACUAGCAACAUGGUCGAUCGGCCAACCGAUCUCCAGACUACUUGUCCAGUCAGUCGGACUUGCAACCUCCUUCGACUAGACUUGAGGGGGAGGCACGUGAUCCGGGGGUAAGGUGGGGCCCCGCCCCGUAGGAGGUCAACACCACGUGGAAGGUCAAAGUCAAUGCAGUCAACGCCCCCGGGCUAGCGUCCGACCGGGCGACCCCAUCAACCGAUCAGGACCCCUCCUUGGCCGGUCCGACGUUAUCACAGCUCGGUCUCGCACCGAGCUUCCGACGCUCAAAGACCCAGCAUCACCAAAGCAAGCGGCGAGUGGCUGGGCAUGUGCCGAGCGACUGGCCAUGUGCUAGGCGGACAUCCGGAUCAGCCAAAGAUCGGAUCACAGCCAGCGAAGCGGAAACACGACCCGGCAAGCCUAGACAGUGGAAGUAGCCGAACGGUCACCCCGCUCGGCCUAGACAGCGGAAGUAGCUGAGCGGUCCACUAGCAGGCAAAAGCAUGAUCGACUGAUAUCCUCCUCGAGACCCGUGCCGCCGACAAACAGCAUGGUCGGCGGCAUGAUCAUGCAUGAUCCGGCAGAGAAUCGUACGACGGAAGCUUCUGUCAGGAUAUGCUCGGAUCAUUGAGGUAUGGCGUCAGAGGUACUUUUUCUGACAUGUCCUUUCAGGGAAGACUUUGAGAAGCGUGCACGCUCGCUCCCGGGGUCCUAUAUAAGGAGCCCCAAGCUUCGUAUGCAUAAUCUCUACUGUAGCUACAGCUACGCUGUCAUUUUGCUUCCCCGUUUCUUCUAUAUCCCGGUGUCUGACUUGAGCGUCGGAGGAUCAUCGCCGAGGAACCCUUCCCUGGCCUGGCACUGACGCCUUAUGGUUGCAGGUCCCGCCAACCAGGAGUUCAUCAGCGCUCAACAGGAGCGCCACGCCCCCAGCUGCCAUCGCCUCGACUCUCGGAUAGGAUCACUGAAAAAAAAUGAUUCCCCUCAUUCAGAUUUCAAUACUACAAAGAGAGAAAAUGAAGACCAUCAUCCUGUGGAACUUAAUGAAUCUCUAGGCCCUACUGCAGCAAUUGAUGUUAGAAUGGAUACCGAAGUUGCUGAUUGUAAUAUUGUUCAAGAUCAGAUGAAUGAUGAAUCCCAGGCAUUCUUUUUUGACCCAGUAUAAAUCAAAAAGAACCAUUCGAAAUGGGCAUACAGUUCAGUUCCCUGGAGCAAAACCUUCAGUUUCAAUGAGGUAUGGCCCUUACAAGGACCUGAAGGCCACCUCAUCGGCCUCCAAUAAGAUUUGGACACAGAAAAAUAAACAUGAAGAGGCACCAUAUGACAGAAUUGAUAGGAUUCAUCAAGAUCAGUCAGUCAAUCCUGAUAGUUCUGAAGUUAUAAUUGGCUCUAUUCUUGUAGCACUUGGAAGUGGCGAUGGAACUAGAAGUAAGCCAGACAAGCUUCAUGCUAAACAGCACAAUAUGAAGCCCCCAAACGGGAUGCUGUGGAAACCUGCGGGUCUCCAUGAUAACAGGAGUGGUACGAGCAGUGUGUCUAAUACAAGGAAAGAAAACUUGUCUCCACGUGAAGAAUUCACCGAUCCAGUUCCUGCUGAUUAGACCAAUUUCUCUCCGGAUGGGAGGAUGGACAGUACUUCUGAGGCACAGCAGGAUUUUUUGAUGGUGCAACCAAGUACUGGACCAAUUUUAUUCUCAAGCAAAAUUGCAGAUUCUUUUCUCGCACAGCGAUGGAAGGAGGCUAUUGUAGCCAAUCAUGUGAGGCUAGUUUUACCAUUUGAAGUUGAAGUAUCUGAUGAUUAUGAUACUGCUGAAAACGGCCACUACGAGAUGAUGCCUGAAAAACCAUGUGCAUCAAAUGGCAUGGAGAAAGGGUACGAUAGUUUUGUAGGUGGCAGAUCCUGUAGCACAGAGAAAGCGUCACGUAGAGCAGGCUCAAUCGAGCCUUCAAAUUCUUCCAAGCACAAAUUUAAAACUAAGCCUGAAAAGGAUAGCAAACUAAAAUAUGUUCCAAAACAAACACACAACGCCAUGGGUGAGUGACUAGAUGAGGUGGAAAAUUAGUUUAGUGUCAUUGUAAAAUGUAGGCUACGUGCAGAAGCUGCAGUUUUAUCAGAGUUCUUCUGUUCAUUUCACACUGAUGGUGAAUCCAAAUUCUUGAAGUAUCUUUGCUCCGGUAUGUCACUAUUGCCUUUUCCUUGUUAAUCUAGAACACUUGGCUGCAAUUUGUUAUGUCGCCAAGUCGAUAAUUCUGCACGUUUAAGGUAAUUCAAAGCUUUAUCAUAAUAAAAC